AGCAUGUGGUUUAAUUCGAUGAUACGCGAAGAACCUUACCGGGGUUUGACAUGCAGGUGAUCGCCGUUGAAAGACGGUUUCCUCUUCGGAGGCACCUGCACAGGUGCUGCAUGGCUGUCGUCAGCUCGUGUCGUGAGAUGUUGGGUUAAGUCCCGCAACGAGCGCAACCCUUGCUAUUAGUUGCUAACAGGCAGAGCUGAGCACUCUAAUGGGGACUGCCGGUGACAAGCCGGAGGAAGGUGGGAUGACGUCAAAUCAUCAUGCCCCUUAUGUUCUGGGCUACACACGUGCUACAAUGGCCGGUACAGACGGACGCAAAGCCGCGAGGUGGAGCAAAUCCUAAAAAGCCGGUCUCAGUUCGGAUUGCAGGCUGCAAUUCGCCUGCAUGAAGUCGGAAUCGCUAGUAAUCGCAGGUCAGCAUACUGCGGUGAAUACGUUCCCGGGCCUU
rnacentral:rRNA from 1 species